CUCUGACUGUGCUAAGGUAGCGUAAUCAGUUGGCUUUUAAAUGGAGUCGAGCAUGAAUGGGUCUACGGAAAUAAGCUGUCUCUUUUUGGUUAUAUUGAAGUUUCUUUAAGGGUGCAAAGUCCCUUGAUUAGAAAAAAGACGAGAAGACCCUUAGAGUUUUUAUUAAAGAUAAGAAUUUAUUCAAGUUUUUGCUGGGGCGGCAAAGAGACAAGUGAUUAAACUCUCUUUUUAUUGUUUUUAGAAGACGAAAAUGUUAAGAAUCAUUAAACUACCUUAGGGAUAACAGCAUAAUUAAGUUUUAGUUUGUGACCUCGAUGUUGGACUAGGAAGACUUUUGACCAGCAGUCAAAAAGUGUGGUUCUGUUCGAACUAA
rnacentral:rRNA from 1 species